rnacentral:rRNA from 1 species
AAUUUUGGACAAUGGGGGGAACCCUGAUCCAGCCAUUCCGCGUGUGCGAUGAAGGCCUUCGGGUUGUAAAGCACUUUUGGCAGGACAGAAAUCGCACGGACUAAUACUCUGUGUGGCUGACGGUACCUGGAGAAUAAGCACCGGCUAACUACGGUCUAGCAGCCGCCGAAAUACGUAGGGUGCAAGCGUUAACCGGAAUUACUGGGCGUAAAGCGGGCGCAGGCGGUUCGGAAAUAAGGAUGUGAAAUCCCAGGGCUCAACCUUGGAACUGCAUUCUUAACUACCGGGCUAGAGUGUGUCAGAGGGAGGUGGAAUUCCGCGUGUAGAAGUGAAAUACGUAGAUAUGCGGAGGAACACCGAUGGCGAAGGCAGCCUCCUGGGAUAACACUGACGCUCAGGCACGAAAGCGUGGAGAGCAAACA